rnacentral:tRNA from 2 species
GCGGGUGUGGCGGAACUGGUAGACGCACUGGAUUUAGGUUCCAGCGCCGCAAGGCGUGGAGGUUCAAGUCCUCUCACCCGCACCA